AGUGAACGCUGGCGGUAGGCCUAACACAUGCAAGUCGAACGGCAGCACAGUAAGAGCUUGCUCUUACGGGUGGCGAGUGGCGGACGGGUGAGGAAUACAUCGGAAUCUACUUUUUCGUGGGGGAUAACGUAGGGAAACUUACGCUAAUACCGCAUACGACCUACGGGUGAAAGCAGGGGAUCUUCGGACCUUGCGCGAUUGAAUGAGCCGAUGUCGGAUUAGCUAGUUGGCGGGGUAAAGGCCCACCAAGGCGACGAUCCGUAGCUGGUCUGAGAGGAUGUUCCGCCACACUGGAACUGGGACACGCUCCAGUCUCCUACGGGAGGCAGCAGCGGGGAAUAUUCGACAAUGGGCGCAAUCCUGAUCCAGCCAUCCCGCGUGGGUGAGGAUGGCCUUCGGGUUGUAAAGCCCUUUUGUUGGGAAAGAAAAGCAGCAGGUUAAUCCCCCGCUGUUCUGACGGUACCCAAAGAAUAAGCACCGGCUAACUUCGUG
rnacentral:rRNA from 1 species